CAUUCCACAUCACAAAGGCAGAAAGAGACUUCACUUAGAGUUGAAAGAAAGCCUUUCUCGAAUGGGGUCUGAUUUGAAGCAGGGUUUUAUCAGCUCUCUGAAAAGUGCUUGGCAGACACUCAAUGAAUUCGCACGUGCUCACACCUCUUCUACUCAGCUGCAAGAAGAAUUGGAGAAGGUGGCCAAUCAGAUCAAAGAGGAAGAGGAAAAGCAAGUAGUUGAAGAAAAGAUUGUUGAAAGUCCAGAAUUUUCCAAGGAUGAGGACUACUUAGGAAAGGUUGGGAUGUUAAAUGGAGGCCGCCGGAUUGAUUAUGUUCUUCAAGAGAAGCCAAUCGAGAGCUUCAAUGAGUAUCUCUUCGCUCUUCAGAGUCACUUGUGCUAUUGGGAGUCCGAAGAUACUGCCCUCUUGUUACUUAAAGAAAUUUAUCGGACAAUGAACAUUAGUCCAGAGCAGCCCCAACACUGAGCAGACUUGCAUUCUACCAGGAAGCUCCAGCUUGAGUGUCACUGCUCAGAGGCUCCUUGGUGGCUGAUGAAGGAUGACAGAAUCGUUACUCAGCAACAACUGCUAACGAGGACUUCUCAGAUGCAGGGAUCGGUUUUUAAAACAGAACAUAAAGAUGCUGGGAAAAGUCAGUAUCAUAUUUGGACAGUCUAGAAGGAGAGCUGCAACCAUGAAAUGAUGCUGUGGGGAAUUCUCGAUCUGUUUAGUUAAGUAGUUAUCUAAAUUAAGUGUGUACUAAUGAAGAGAUAUUCGUAGCAUGCAAAUGGUUAUUUCUAUUUCUUAAAACUAUUGUCAAUGGGCUAUUAAACUUUAUUUUUCUUUGUAUUAAUGCAAUAUGUUAUUUUUAUUUAAAUAUGGACUUCUUGAGAAACUGUAGUAACAUGAUUUUUAAGAAACUUAUGCUAGACUGGGCAUGGUGGCACAUGCCUUUAAUCCCAGCACUCAAGAAGCAAAGGCAGGUGGAUCUCUGAGAGGAAGAUGGCCUGGUCUGUAUCACAGGUUUCAGGACAGUCAGGACUAUGUAGUGAGACCACCUAAGAAACGAAAAGACAAACGCCUGCUGUCCUGAAUGUGCACAGCUCAGAGCUGGGGCUGGCCUGGGGCGGAGUCGCUCCUGCUUGUGGCAAGGCCUCCUCAUCCCGGGCUGAUCUCAGCGUUCAUAAAGUCGAAUGCCAUCACCGAGAACCUAGUUGCAGGAGUGAAGCACUUUUUACUUUCCAGAACUCUUGUGAUGAUCUGACCUCUCCUGGCAUGUCCACAUCCCCUGGAGGUGAGCAAAUAGCAGGCUUCACAGCGAACCGAGGUUUCCGUGCCAGCACUCGGCGCCCGAGGUCCAGUUAACGUGAGAAGCAAAGUGGAAGGGCUGUGGUUCGGGUUUAGUUUGACUUGCACCAGUGUGUUUGAAAGGAUGUAGAGCUGCUUGAGACUGCUCUGUAAUGAUGAUUCUGUUUACUAUAAACUCAUUCUCUAAGUAUUUCCUAACGGACAGUGGGAAUGCUGACUUCCUUCUCUUGUUACAUAGCAGAAACAUUUUAUGUCGUUUACAUAGUUCUCAUGGAACAUGGAAUUUUUUUGAAAGCAACCUAUAAUACACAUUUUUGUGUAUGUGUUCUACCUGGUGUGAAUAAAACAAUGACAUUGAUGCUCUUUUUAAAGCUGCA
rnacentral:lncRNA from 1 species